rnacentral:misc_RNA from 1 species
GAUGAAGAACGUAGCGAAAUGUGAUAAGUAAUGUGAAUUGCAGAAUUCAGUGAAUCAUCGAAUCUUUGAACGCACAUUGCGCCCGCCAGUAUUCUGGCGGGCAUGCCUGUCUGAGCGUCAUUUCAACCCUCAUGCCCCUAGGGCGUGGUGUUGGGGAUCGGCCAAAGCCCGCGAGGGACGGCCGGCCCCUAAAUCUAGUGGCGGACCCGUCGUGGCCUCCUCUGCGAAGUAGUGAUAUUCCGCAUCGGAGAGCGACGAGCCCCUGCCGUUAAACCCCCAACUUUCCAAGGUUGACCUCAGAUCAGGUAGGAAUACCCGCUGAACUUAAGCAUAUCAAUAAGCGGAGGA